rnacentral:rRNA from 1 species
CUUUUAGUAGAGAAUGGCACUUAGAAGCUUCUGGUCCUGAGGAUUCCCUCAGUAACUGCGAGUAAACAGGGAAGAGCCCAGUGCCAAAUCCCCACCCCUCAGUGGGGCAUGGGAAAUGUGGCAUUUGGAAGACCCACUCCCCAGCGCCGCUCGUGGGGGGCCCAAGUCCUUCUGAUCAAGGCCCAGCCCGUGGACCAUGGAAGGCCUGUAGCGGCCCCCGGCGUGCUGGGCCCGGGUCUUCUCGGAGUCCGGUUGCUUGGGAAUGCAGCCCAAAGCAGGUGGUAAACUCCAUCUAAGGCUAAAUACCGGCUCUAGACCGAUAGUCAACAAGUACCAUAAGGGAAAGUUAAAAAGAACUUUGGAGAGUUCAAGAGGGUGUGAAACUGUUAAGAG